CGACCUCCGAUCCAGAUCUCCUCCUCCUCCCGCGGCCGCACGGCACGCCAGUCGCCCUUCUUCCGUGCCCUCGCCUCCCCCGUCCCGUCCCACCGCGGCGGCCCCCACUUCGCCUCUCCCCCACCCGCCUGGCCGCACCCACCUCCCGGCGAAAACCGCCCCCGCCCUCGCCCCCGCUUGGGUAAGAAACGAGAGGGAGGAGGGUCCCGACGAAACCCGCCCCCGCCCUUGCCCGGGUUCAGCUCCCAUGGCGGCUCGGCCCCCACCGCCUACUCCGCCUCUCCCGUCGCCUCCACGCCUCCGCCGGCCCCGGCUCCGGCGCCGGCGAAGGCAAAUUGCUUCUACCCGGCGUCUCCAGAUCGAUACUAAGCAUGGACAAGUCUGCCUGAUCCCAAUCAAAAUAGUGUGUCUGUCACCAAGUGGACGAGAAGGAGAUGCAUAUGUGUUGUGCGGCCUUGAUGUGUAUUACUGUAUAUAUGCAGGUUAUUGUCUCAUUUUUCUAGCGAUUGGUAUAUGGCUCAGGGUCAUGUACAAAGUCUCAGAUGUAUGGAUGUGUUGUUGCUGGAUUUGUUUCGUGGUGAAUCUCAGGCAACCCUUCACAAAGCUUCUACAUUACUCGUUGCCUUCCAACAACUUUGGCUAAAUUUUGGGGUAUAAGUGGAGGCCAUUUUGCUUGGCUUUCAUUCCCAUCCAGUGUAGCAUCCAAAUCGAUUUGUUAAUACUGAACAUGUUUUCCGGAUGUAUCUUCCAUAUGUAUUAUGUGCAUUUCAAUAUCUUCGAAAAUUAUAAUGUGGACAAUUAGUUAUUAUGGCUUGCAAGGUGAACUCCUCGAUCCAUGGAUACAGUCCCGCAUCUAUAAUGAAAUCAUAAGUAAGGUACAACUUUUGUCACAUAUUUUUUUUUGAAGCCUGGCUACUAUUUUUCAUCUACUACCAACCAUAAGCAUUUCAUUUUCGUAUACAUCAGCUUGCAAUUGUAGUUAUAUAAAUCACGGCGUUCAAAUUAUAUUCAUGAGUGAUAUUUACUUAUUUUAUGAAGUUUUAGAUGUCACCAAUCACCUCUAUUUGAGAAAUGUUUGCACCUUGGUUGGGCUGCAGGUAUGCGUGACAACCAGGGAGACGAAAAAGUGCUAUCGAACGUGUUGGAACCGCAGCCCUCUUUCUCUCACUCAAGACUAGAGGGAGGAGACGGAUACACUGAAGUUUCACCCGGCUGCAUACACAGCCCCGUUUUUUUUAUUUCAGAGUACCCCACCUUGCUCGCGCACGUACGCUGCCCAGCUCGCUCUGCCGCUCGAUCCGCACGCUCCGGCCGCGCGCACGACGCGCACCUACGCACGACGCGGCUGCCUCCCAACGGACUGAGCAUGAGCACCCCGCUAGCCAACAACCCAACCUACACUCAUGCGCCACCGCACAUGCAGCACGCACAGACCCGCCGGCCACUAAGCCAACUAACUAGCAUGCACACACCUUGCUCACGCACACAUACAUGGGCAUGGCUUGCUCCUAACAUGACCAUACGAUGCUAACUCUCUCUGCUGCAUCUGCAAUUCUGCAUGGGCAUCUGGUUAGAAUGAGAACAUUACGUAGUGCAAAUACAGCCAAUUACCUCACCUUAUUUUUCUCACCAUGCUAUGGUCCCAUUCAGUGUAGUUAAUUUGAUGGGCUCCAAAGGUGAUAUGUGUGUUCAAAUGCUACCUCAUAAUUUUUCAUUUGUGGUGUUUCUCAUAGCCGUUUCUGUAAGGGAUCAAUGGAAAACGACCAUGUGUUUGGUUCUGAAGUUAUUUAAGUUUAGAGUUAUCUCUUAUGCUCUCUUAGGUACUCUUUCUUAAUUUAUCAGAAACUAAUUCUAUCCCAUUACAUUCUUGACAUUCCACAAGAUCACAUUGCUUGCCCCACUAAAUUAGCAUUUAGGCUGGGCGAAAACCUUAGAUCAUAUGUUCAGAGUUUAGUUCUUUUCUUAUCUGAAACUAACAUAUUUUACAACGAGCAUGAUGGAUGUUGCAGGUUCAUUGAUGACAACCAAGGGUUCAUGCUCGGAAAUGACUACAUCUUGCUCCAUGUCGUCGGCUCAGCUAGAGUCCUUAAUCAUGAGGAGAUGGGACACAUCAAUUGUUAGAGUACACUUGACAGGGGUGAUCGACGCUUACUAGCGCGGCCGGUGGGCGCUGUGCUCUUCAACCACUCAGAGGCGGACUUCUCCGUGAAGCCGGUGGCCACGUCGCGUAGAUGAUUGUCCAGGUGAUUUCGACGCCGGUGGUCGCCGAGGUGGAGGACCUAGACACCACCGUCUGGGGGAAAGGAGGAUUCGGGUCCACCGACGUUUAAGCUCCGAGCCUUGGUAGAUACAUCUAGGGAAGGGGUCUGUUUAGGUUGGUGAUGGAACACCAGGGAAGGCACCCACCUUUCGAUGAUGGUUGUGUGUGUCUGAUGUUAAAUGGAAUCUUGAGAAUGUUAUGUGAUGUUGGUUUGGUUGGACGUAUUGCCAUCCAUGAA